UUCCUUUUCUGUAAAAACAUAACAAAAACACAAAUUAAGCUAGAAAAAUGUGUAAAUAAACAGUAAUAAAUAUAAUAAAAAUGUGGCUAAAUUAUGCUUGAUCAAAUACCCCCACACCUAGCUUUUUGCUUGUCCUCAAGCAACAAACAACUUAGUCAAUCAAGCUCCUUUUUCUUUUGAGCCUAAGUACCACUUAAUCAGCCCCCCUAGACUCCUAAAUUGAAGCAACACAGUGUAGAUUACAUGCACUAAGGUUGUUCUCUCUUUACCUUGUUUCCCUUCACCUACCAUGGCCAAGAGAAAGGUUUUUGGUUCAAUCAUGCUUAU
rnacentral:lncRNA from 1 species